UGGGGAAUUUUGGACAAUGGGCGAAAGCCUGAUCCAGCAAUGCCGCGUGUGUGAAGAAGGCCUUCGGGUUGUAAAGCACUUUUGUCCGGAAAGAAAUCCUUGGCUCUAAUACAGUCGGGGGAUGACGGUACCAGAAGAAUAAGCACCGGCUAACUACGUGCCAGCAGCCGCGGUAAUACGUAGGGUGCAAGCGUUAAUCGGAAUUACUGGGCGUAAAGCGUGCGCAGGCGGUUUGCUAAGACCGAUGUGAAAUCCCCGGGCUCAACCUGGGAACUGCAUUGGUGACUGGCAGGCUAGAGUAUGGCAGAGGGGGGUAGAAUUCCACGUGUAGCAGUGAAAUGCGUAGAGAUGUGGAGGAAUACCGAUGGCGAAGGCAGCCCCCUGGGCCAAUACUGACGCUCAUGCACGAAAGCGUGGGGAGCAAACAGGAUUAGAUACCCUGGUAGUCCACGCCCUAAACGAUGUCAACUAGUUGUUGGGAUUCAUUUCCUUAGUAACGUAGCUAACGCGUGAAGUUGACCGCCUGGGGAGUACGGUCGCAAGAUUAAAAGCUUAAA
rnacentral:rRNA from 1 species